GAACGGGUGAGUAACACUUAAGUAACCUGCCCUAGACAGGGGGAUAACUAUUGGAAACGAUAGCUAAGACCGCAUAGGUACGGACACUGCAUGGUGACCGUAUUAAAAGUGCCUCAAAGCACUGGUAGAGGAUGGACUUAUGGCGCAUUAGCUGGUUGGCGGGGUAACGGCCCACCAAGGCGACGAUGCGUAGCCGACCUGAGAGGGUGACCGGCCACACUGGGACUGAGACACGGCCCAGACUCCUACGGGAGGCAGCAGUAGGGAAUUUUCGGCAAUGGGGGAAACCCUGGCCGAGCAACGCCGCGUGAAGGAAGAAGGUUUUCGGAUUGUAAACUUCUGUUAUAAAGGAAGAACGGCGGCUACAGGAAAUGGUAGCCGAGUGACGGUACUUUAUUAGAAAGCCACGGCUAACUACGUGCCAGCAGCCGCGGUAAUACGUAGGUGGCAAGCGUUAUCCGGAAUUAUUGGGCGUAAAGAGGGAGCAGGCGGCAGCAAGGGUCUGUGGUGAAAGCCUGAAGCUUAACUUCAGUAAGCCAUAGAAACCAGGCAGCUAGAGUGCAGGAGAGGAUCGUGGAAUCCCAUGUGUAGCGGUGAAAUGCGUAGAUAUAUGGAGGAACACCAGUGGCGAAGGCGACGAUCUGGCCUGCAGCUGACGCUCAGUCCCGAAAGCGUGGGGAG
rnacentral:rRNA from 1 species